rnacentral:rRNA from 1 species
GACGAACGCUGGCGGCGUGCUUAACACAUGCAAGUCGAACGGAAAGGCCCUGCUUUUGUGGGGUGCUCGAGUGGCGAACGGGUGAGUAACACGUGAGUAACCUGCCCUUGACUUUGGGAUAACUUCAGGAAACUGGGGCUAAUACCGGAUAUGAGCUCCUGCUGCAUGGUGGGGGUUGGAAAGUUUCGGCGGUUGGGGAUGGACUCGCGGCUUAUGAGCCUGUUGGUGGGGUAGUUGCUUACCAAGGUUUUGACGGGUAGCCGGCCUGAGAGGGUGACCGGCCACAUUGGGACUGAGAUACGGCCCAGAAUCCUACGGGAGGCAGAAGUGGGGAAUAUUGCACAAUGGGCGGAAGCCUGAUGCAGCAACGCCGCGUGCGGGAUGACGGCCUUCGGGUUGUAAACCGCUUUCGCAUGUGACGAAGCGUGAGUGACGGUAAUGGGUAAAGAAGCACCGGCUAACUACGUG